CGUCGGGCUCCGUAUAGGGCGAUUUCACAGUGACGUAGUCCCUCCGCCAGAGCAACUCUGCCCCUGCGGGGGUGAGGAAGUGGGCGGGGCAGAAGGGAAAAGCGAGGGAACCGGCCGGCUGGGUCGUACCAAAUGGAAGAGAGAAACCAGUGCGGCUUCCUUCUUUGCAGGCCAUCAUGGAGUGAGGUGCUGUUGCACCACUGCUAAGAACUAGUCCCAGUCUGCGGUUUGAAGCAGCCUGCUUCAUAAUAUGGCCAGCCCUGGCAUCUGAUCUAGCCAAGCACUUAUUUUGCCCUUAAACAAGAAGGAAUAUUCAGAAUCAUUUAACACAGGUUGUUAGUUGCUGCAAGACUGCUCCUCCUGCUGUUUACGUUCUGAAUGCGACUUGCCCGAACGGAGGCAUUUUGCUGCUGAUGAGCAGCUAGUCUGGAAAGCACCCAGGACUGGUCAUUGUCCAGAUAGAAGACCAUCUGAGAACCUUAUGUACCAUAUUCACCUGAAUACAAGAUGACUCUGAAUUUACGAGCCCCUUAAAAAGCAGAGGUUAAUUUCAGGUUAUACUCUUAUUUACCCAAAGGAAGAGGAGUUUGAAUUUAAGAUGACUUGAAAAAAAUCUAGUCUUUGAUUAAGGCAAAUACAGUAAGCUGCCUUGAUUUUGAUUGAAGAAACAUGGGAUAAAGAUAAGAAUCUUUGCAGAAUACCAUGCUAAAUAGUUUUCCUCCCUGCAAGCCUUGGGCUAGCCUUCCCCCUCUGAAAAUAAAAAGGCCUAGAAAAAUGUAGAUGUUUAUUAAUUUGAA